rnacentral:rRNA from 1 species
UACGAAGGGGGCUAGCGUUGCUCGGAAUCACUGGGCGUAAAGCGUACGUAGGCGGCUUUGCAAGUUAGAGGUGAAAGCCUGGAGCUCAACUCCAGAACUGCCUUUAAAACUGCAUCGCUUGAAUCCAGGAGAGGUGAGUGGAAUUCCGAGUGUAGAGGUGAAAUUCGUAGAUAUUCGGAAGAACACCAGUGGCGAAGGCGGCUCACUGGAGCUGGUAUUGACGCUGAGGUACGAAAGCGUGGGGAGCAAACAGG